UGCAAGCUCAGUUGGGAGAGCAUGAGACACUUAAUCUCAGGGUGGCUGGUUCAAGCCCGACAUUGGGCAAAA